rnacentral:rRNA from 1 species
UACGUAGGUGGCAAGCGUUAUCCGGAUUUACUGGGUGUAAAGGGCGUGUAGGCGGGGCUGCAAGUCAGAUGUGAAACCCAUGGGCUCAACCCAUGGCCUGCAUUUGAAACUGUAGUUCUUGAGUGAUGGAGAGGCAGGCGGAAUUCCGUGUGUAGCGGUGAAAUGCGUAGAUAUACGGAGGAACACCAGUGGCGAAGGCGGCCUGCUGGACAUUAACUGACGCUGAGGCGCGAAAGCGUGGGGAGCAAACAGG